UGUCCCGUCAGCUCGUACGCUUUUGACACCUGUUUGAAUUCGCCGGUCCGUGUGAAACAGACCUCCAUUACUUUGACGUCUGGCGAAAAACCUGUAGCGACUACGAAACGGCCGCAUGGUGAUAUUUUAGCUGUGUGUGUAUUCAUAAGGACAUCAAGAAUUUACCAUUGCUGGAAAUCCCGAAACCGAUUACAUCAUCCACGUGAGCCUGGAAAACAGUGAAAACACGCUUUGUGAAUUAUUACAUUAAGGAUAAUGGCAACAUGCAAUGAUAUAACUAAAAACUAUUGCUUUGGGAAAAUCUAAUACAGACUGCAUUUUAUCAAUUUGAAAGUUUUCGUUAUAGUUACAACAUGAAAUAAAUAAAAAACACAGAAAUUGAACUUUAAGGACACCGAAA